ACUCCUACGGGAGGCAGCAGUGGGGAAUAUUGCACAAUGGGCGCAAGCCUGAUGCAGCCAUGCCGCGUGUAUGAAGAAGGCCUCGGUUGUAAAGUACUUUCAGCAGUGAGGAAGGUAGUGUAGUUAAUAGCUGCAUUAUUUGUACGUUAGCUGCAGAAGAAGCACCGGCUAACUCCGUGCCAGCAGCCGCGGUAAUACGGAGGGUGCGAGCGUUAAUCGGAAUUACUGGCGUAAAGCGCAUGCAGGUGGUUUGUUAAGUCAGAUGUGAAAGCCCGGGGCUCAACCUCGGAAUAGCAUUUGAAACUGGCAGACUAGAGUACUGUAGAGGGGGUAGAAUUUCAGGUGUAGCGGUGAAAUGCGUAGAGAUCUGAAGGAAUACCGGUGGCGAAGGCGGCCCCUGGACAGAUACUGACACUCAGAUGCG
rnacentral:rRNA from 1 species